rnacentral:lncRNA from 1 species
AAUCUAAACAAAUUAAAUCCCAACCCACACCCGAAUCCACCUAUUAAUCACUCGCCCCAUCUAGAAUCUCCAAUUCCCCUUGCGUUUCUGUCCAUAAAAGAAACAUUGAUUCAAGGUCAAAAAAAAUUGUGAUAGAUGAAUCAAAAGAUCCAAAUAAGUAAAAUACAUGAUUCAAUUUUUUAUAACAAUUAUGAAGAACCUGUCACUUUCUACCUCAUAGAUAAAUUCUCCAAGAAAUUCCUUAAGUAUGCAUAGUUGUGGAAUUGAUCUGGACAUAUUGACACUUCAUUUCAGCAACUAUACAAUAAUGGAUAUGAAAUGCAACACCCAAAAUAUUCAUAAGUCGAUAAUUGAUUUUGGACUAAGAUAGUUUGGUGCAAUAUAACGGACAUUAAGAAAGAGGUUUCUCAUGAAAAUAAAGUACACAAUGGUGAGAAGUUUGAAAAAAUCAGAACAUAUCUUGCAGGUUUGAAAAAUGUUUGGUCUGCAAAGGGAAGCACCCUCAAAUUGAUUCUCAAAAAUCUAACAAGCCACCAAGAGCAAGGAGUAAGUCUUUUGAUGAAACGUCUUUUUAAACAUAGAAUUAGAAAUUCAAAAAAUCUUAGCUAUGUUCUUGAAGAAUGAGAAAAAUUCCCAUCGCAGAAGAAAAGAGAAAAUGGACCUAGUUUAUAAAUUUACUCUU